GAUGGGUUGGAUGGGUUGGAUAGUGUUUGUGGAUUACACACUUCAAACUCUCCAAAUACUUUCUUGUUUUGUGUUUAAUGUAGAUUUAAAUAAGUCUCUACACUUAAAGUGUUAAAGUGGCUUCACUAACCAUAAUAUACGACUGUGUAGAAUUCAUUUUAGAUCUGGAUCAUUUAUACUGAAGGGUCUUUUAUUAAAAAAAACACUUAUAGUUAUAUUGGACUAUCAUUGUAAUGUGGUCUUUGAAAUGAAUUCUAGGUGAUUAUACCCCGGUGCUUCUGCAGUUAGGCCCAUUUCAGAAGUCUCUCUCAGUGUUUAGCCUAAUUAAUUAUGCCAUUAAGGAAAUUGAAUCCAAAGUUAACAGCGCUUUUUCAGCACUUCUGGGUUCCAGGCCAGUAGGUGGGUGUGGUUAAGGACCAGGCCAGUAGGUAGGUGUGGUUAAGGACCAGGCCAGUAGGUGGGUGUGGUUAAGGACCAGGCCAGUAGGUGGGUGUGGUUAAGGACCAGGCCAGUAGGUGGGUGUGGUUAAGGACCAGGCCAGUAGGUGGGUGUGGUUAAGGACCAGGCCAGUAGGUAGGUGUGGUUAAGGACCAGGCCAGUAGGUGGGUGUGGUUAAGGACCAGGCCAGUAGGUGGGUGUGGUUAAGGACCAGGCCAGUAGGUGGGUGUGGUUAAGGACCAGGCCAGUAGGUAGGUGUGGUUAAGGACCAGGCCAGUAGGUGGGUGUGGUUAAGGACCAGGCCAGUAGGUGGGUGUGGUUAAGGACCAGAUCAGUAGGUGGGUGUGGUUAAGGACCAGGCCAAUAUGUGGUUAAGGACCAGGCCAGGAGGUGGGUGUGGUUCUGGAUCAGGCCAGUAGGUAGGUGAGGUUCAGGAUCAGGCCAGUAGGUAGGUGAGGUUCAGGAUCAGGCCAGUGGGUAGGCGAGGUUCUGGACCAGGCCAGUAUUUCGGUGAGGUUCAGGAUCAGGCCAGUAGGUAAGUGAGGUUCAGGAUUAGGCCAGUAGGUAGGUGAAGUUCUGGACCAGGCCAGUAAGUAGAUGAGGUUCAGGACCAGGCCAGUAUUUAGGUGAGGUUCAGGAUCAGGCCAGUAGGUAGGUGAGGUUCUGGACCAGGCCAGUAGGUAGUUGAGGUUCUGGAUCAAACCAGUAGAGAGGUGAGGUUCUGGAUCAGGCCAGUAGGUAGUUGAGGUUCUGGAUCAAACCAGUAGAGAGGUGAGGUUCUGGAUCAGGCCAGUAGGUGGUGGUGUACACCUGGUUUCUGGGGUUCUAACCACAAUAGAGGUUAGAGGGAGAAUGUGACCCUGACGUCUUGCUCUUCGACUUCACACACACACACACACACACACACACACACACACACACACACACACACACACACACACACACACACACACACACACACACACACACACACACACACACACACACACA